GUGGCAGCCGCCGCGGUAAUACGUAGGGUGCGAGCGUUAAUCGGAAUUACUGGGCGUAAAGCGUGCGCAGGCGGUUGUGUAAGACAGAUGUGAAAUCCCCGGGCUUAACCUGGGAAUGGCAUUUUGAACUGGCAGUCUAGAGUGUGUCAGAGGGGGGUGGAAUUCCACGUGUAGCAGUGAAAUGCGUAGAUAUGUGGAGGAACACCAAUGGCGAAGGCAGCCCCCUGGGAUAACACUGACGCUCAUGUACGAAAGCGUGGGUAGCAAACAGGAUUAGAUACCCUGGUAGUCCACGCCCUAA
rnacentral:rRNA from 1 species